UAGAAAUGUAAAAUGUAAAUAAAAAACUAAGUGUAUACAAAAGAAAACAUAGGUAGCGAAAAUAUUUUUUGAAAAAAAAGACUACAGUUUGUAAACACGUUACAAUAUGAUUAUCUAUACAGUAUACAUUCAUUGGCGUUAACGAAUAAAAUAAUACCGGAGUAUCAUACUGCGUGUUAAUAAUUCAUUGAAGUAUGAAUCUAUAAUUAUUAACUUGCACGGAUUCAUUUUUAUUUGAACAGAUUCUUGAAGCAACGUGUAAGGUAGACAUCACAUACUUCCCUUUCGACACACAGGAAUGUCCUCUGAAGUUUUCUGCAUGGAGCUAUGAUAAAGAAGAAGUAGCUUUGUCUGAAUCAAAAAACGGAAUCUAUUCGGAAGACUUUGAAGAAAAUUCAAGAUGGUUGUUGGUAAACACAACAGCAGAUUCGAAAAAAGAAGAUGGUUUUGUGAUUUUUAAGAUGACACUGAAGAGGAAGUCAACAUUUUACGUGUUCUACAUACUCAUCCCAAUCGUCCUACUUUCGUUUUUAAACGUCCUCACAUUUGCACUUCCGGUAUCGUCGGGUGAGCGUGCUUCUUACGCUAUCACAGUGAUCCUGUCUUUGGCCGUAUUUCUAACAAUUGUAGCGUCUGAGAUUCCAAAGAACUCCGACACCAUUCCAGUCAUCUCAGUUUAUAUCACGGCAAUAAUAACACUCAGCACUGCUAACAUAAUAACGUCACUGUUAGAAUCGCGACUUGCGUCCCGAGAUAAAUACAAGGACCCAAUAGCCCCUGGAUAUAUGGCACUUAACCGAUUAGCUCGGAUUUGUAAGUGUAAACGUGACGGAAAGAACCAUCCGGCAACAGACAUUGAAUGGGAAGACGUUGUAGCUGCAUUGGAUUAUUUCUUGUUUUGGUUGUUUUUUGUGCUUACCAUUGUAGCAACUGUAGUUUGGUUUGUAAUUGCAAACAGACGGCAAAGUGAGUAAUUAGAAACAAAUUAAAUGUGCAUUUCAAAAAAUAAAUAAAUACGAGGGUGAUGUGUCGCUUUAGCAAACAUAUUAAUAUAUUCAAAUAAAAAGGAACAUACGUUGAACGAUUUGGACGUGGUUAAAUAGUGAGCAUACCCGAGGUAAGAAAACGAAUUUUUCGUAUUUGCAUCCAAUAACACAAAACAGCUAUCAAGGGGCCUUCGUCCUGACCAUUGACCUAUAUCCAUUGCAGCAGCAGCUGAAUUCUCCAGUACAUUUGUAUGUGUCAAAGAUAUCUUCCGAUCAGAUUUGAGUCUGAUUUCAAACCACGUACGUUCUUUAUAUUCUCCAGAGUAUUUAAAUAACAUCAAGCUAAUCGAUGCUGAAUUUACCAUCUAAAUCAUCGUUUUCUUUGAAAUAUGGCUUGAUCGUAGUAUUAAACGAUAUAUCCUGCAAAUGCCACUUUUCUGGUUAGAAAAUAUUGAACUGACCGAAUGGCUUUUUGUCUUAAAAAUAUUAUUUACGGUGUUCUCAGAUCCGACGUUGAAAUACAUGGACUGAGUCACGAUAUAAAUUUCAACCAUAGCCGAUAUUUAAGUUUGUUUAUUUACUACAAGUUAACACUCAAGGCAGCUGAAAUAGCCAUCGCUGCUUCCAAAUUAAAACUCUUAAUAUCUUCUAUCUGACUCAAUCGAUUGGGAAUAAAUAUUUUAAUCAUAUUAUCUUUUGGAAACAAAAACGACAUAACAUACAUAAAUUUUAUUAUGAUAUUUUAGUCUGCACAGUAUGAUUCAAUUCUUAUUAUUGUAUUUAGCAUAAAGUUUGUGAGAUAUAUUUUAGUACACUAUUUAUAUGUUUCAUUAUUUACAUGUAUAUAGAGAAUAAUAGGUUGGUGACGUGGAUGGAGAAUGGCACCAACCUAUCAUUAUAUUUAUCCUGUAAAAAAUUUCUUUUAAUUGUAUUCUUUUUUCACCGUUUUUUCAUUGUACAAGAUUUUAACUCGGGAGUUUUGCUGGAAUAAUGACGUCAUUUCAUAAAAAAAUGACGUCAUUUCACAGUAAAACAGAGAUAUCAGGUUACCUGGCCAUCUAGCCCAUUAUCUUUUGGGAUAUUAGGUUAGCUGGUUAUCGGGCCGAUUUAAAAGCAUGUGACAGGAUAAAAUUCCAUUACCGUACACUAGAUAAUUAUUUCCUCCAAUAUUUAUUCGGAUUUUUUUUCGAAAUAAAAUGAUAAAAAUAAACCAACCUCAUGUCAUUACAUCAGAAAUUCGUAUACAGGAGAGAUUGGGAAAAUGUGUUACCAAUAAACUAAUCCCAAACACA